rnacentral:misc_RNA from 1 species
AAGCUUGGAUGCCGUCGGGACGGCACAAAAACCAAAAAACUGUGGUUCGGAUGUGCCUUUUUCUUUGGGUUGGCCUCCGUUCCUUUCAAUGAUGCGCCCAGCGGGAGCCCUCUGCUGCCUCGAUUUCAGAGGAGAUUCAAGUGCACCGGGACAAUCCGUGGGUUACAAAAGCGCAUCGCCCCUUCUUCUUCUUCUCGAGGAUCGCCCUUUAACUAGAGGCGUUUGAGAGGAAGGAACCAUUUCUUUUGUGCUUUCGAGAUGGCAUGGGAUAUGCCGGGCGCAAGAGGAAAAAAACAAACAUUGUGUUUUGUCGUACUGAUUGAAAAACCAAAACUUGACACGA